rnacentral:rRNA from 1 species
AGGGAUAAGGGGUGCCACCAUCAGGUGGCCGCAGAGAAUAGGCCCAAGCGACUGUUUACCAAAAACAUAGGUGUCUGCUAAGUCGCAAGACGAUGUAUAGGAGCUGACGCCUGCCCGGUGCUGGAAGGUUAAGGGGAUCUGUUAGAGCAAUCGAAGCAGUGAACUUAAGCCCCAGUAAACGGCGGCCGUAACUAUAACGGUCCUAAGGUAGCGAAAUUCCUUGUCGGGUAAGUUCCGACCCGCACGAAAGGCGUAACGAUUUGGGCACUGUCUCAACAACAGACUCGGUGAAAUUGUAAUUCCGGUGAAGAUGCCGGAUACCUGCGACAGGACGGAAAGACCCCAUGGAGCUUUACUGUAGCUUGACAUUGGGUCUUGGUACUACAUGUACAGGAUAGGUGGGAGGCUUUGAAACCAGGACGCCAGUUUUGGCGGAGCCAUCCUUGGGAUACCACCCUUGUAGUACUGGGACUCUAACCAUAG